rnacentral:tRNA from 1 species
AGAUAAUGAAGUAAAAUUUACCUUUAGUUUCGACCUAAAAAUCAGGGAAUCACAUCCCCAUAUCUA